rnacentral:lncRNA from 1 species
AAAGCACUAGCAUCUUUCUACACAGGAAAAGGAACUGUCUGCACUGUUAAGAGCCCCAUCUCUUUGCUGGGCUCAGCAAAUCUUGUGAGGCAGAGAGAAAAUGCCUAUGAGAUACCAUAAAUAUGGGAGGUGACUGACCAGCCAGAGAACUGCUGACCAGACUGGUGCAGAGGACAGGACCACAAAAGACAUGGUCACCCUCACGAUGCCUUUCUCUCCCUAUGUGCCAGAAGUCCCAGCUGCUGCAACCCACAAAGAAGGGUUGGUGAUUCAGGGCUCAGAUGCUGUUGAGGACAAGUCCCCAGGAAGCCAUCUGGAUUUUGGCAUUCGAACCACGAGCUUCCCCAUCGCCAUGGAUGAGAAAUCAGAAGCCAAUGGAUGCCGGGCCCAGGUCCUUCUCUUAAUCCAACAAUGAUUCUACUGCUGUUCCAGACACCUAAUAACCAGCUCAACUGGAUCCCUUUUCUCAUAGAACUUUCCUGAACUCAGUUGUCCUGUACUUUCAACAGACAUCAUCCUGCUUAGAUUCCCUGAGCUUGACCUGCUUUUGAAACUCUUUCAUCCUCUUCUGAACCCCAGCUUUCCUCACGAUGUCUCACACGUUUUUCGCAACUGUCAUACACAGUGUCUGGCACAUAGUAGGUGCUUAAUAAAUGUUGAUAGGUUGCUUAAUUGAUUAAACUG